rnacentral:rRNA from 1 species
AGCAGUCGCCGCGGGAAUACAGAGGGUGCAAGCGUUAAUCGGAAUUACUGGGCGUAAAGCGCGCGUAGGUGGUUUGUUAAGUUGGAUGUGAAAUCCCCGGGCUCAACCUGGGAACUGCAUCCAUAACUGCCUGACUAGAGUACGGUAGAGGGUGGUGGAAUUUCCUGUGUAGCGGUGAAAUGCGUAGAUAUAGGAAGGAACACCAGUGGCGAAGGCGACCACCUGGACUGAUACUGACACUGAGGUGCGAAAGCGUGGGGAGCAAACAGGAUUAGAUACCCCGGUAGUCCCUGUCUCUUAUAC